CAUCACUUGUGGAUACACAGGCAAAAUGUGGUGCAUGCACACCAUGGAAAAGUCUUUGGGAAUAAAAAGGAACAAGCUACUCAUACAUGCUGUGAUAUUGAUAUUUGUUCAUUUUUUUGAGACCGGGUUAUGAGACUGGCUAUUUUUUUUUUCCUUUUUGUAUUUUUGGUAGAGACAGGGUUUUGCCGUGUUGCCCAGGCUGGUCUCGAAGUCCUAGGCUCAAUGAUCCACCUGCCUCAGCCUCCCAAAGCGCUGGAUUAAAGACGUGAGCCACCAUGCCUGGCUGCUGUGAUAUUGAUAGACCGUGAUGAUAUUAUGCUAAGUGAAAGAAGCCAGCCAUGGAAGACCACAUAUUAAGGAGUCUUGCUCUUGUCGCCCAGGCUGGAGUGCAGUGGCACGAUCUCGGCUCACCGCAACCUUCACCUCCCAGGUUCAGGCGAUUCUCCUGUCUCAGCCUCCUGAGUAGCUGGCAUUAUAGGUGCUUGCCACCACGCCUGGCUAAUUUUUGUAUUUUUUUUUUUAGUAGAGAUGGGAUUUUGCCAUGUCGGACAGGCUAGUCUCAAACUCCUGACCUCAAGUGAUCCGCUCGCCUCAGCCUCCUAAAGUGCUGGAUUUACAAGCGUAAGCCGCCGCACGCCCGGCCCCAGUCUCUAUUUUCAAAGUAACAGCACUCCUGACUUUUAGCCAGGAUAGGGCCACCCCAAAUAAAGACUCCAUUUCCCAUCUUGCCUCAUAGCCUGGGCGGCCUUGUCUCUAAGUCCUGGCUCCUGCAGUAUAACACUGGCACCAUGGAUGCCUCCAGUCACUUUUGUCCAGUGAAUGUGGAUUCUGCUUAUGGCCCGUCCUUGUUUAAUUUUUUAGACAAUGCGGCCCCUUGUGACCUGCCUUUCUGGCCACACUCAGUUUCUACAUCUGCAAAAUGGGCCAGCAACACUGGUGCUGAUGACAUCCUGGGAUGCAGAGGACACCCCAAAUGUCCACAGGGCCACGGGUGAGAAACCCUGCUUGAGGGAGUAAUGACUUUUGGCCAAAGGAUGGCCCAGAUGGGGCCCUAGGUCUGAGGACUUCGGGGCCGGCCAUGUGGGUAUGAGGGGGCAGGAAGGGAGGGGGCCCAGGACUGUGGCUUUGUAUCCCCUGGCUAUGGAAGGUCCUUCACCUGCUCUUCUCCCCAUGUUUUCCUUGAGGAAUCUUGACCGACAAUCCCACGUUCCUACUAAUUUCACUCAUCCUUCAAGAUCUGCCUCCUCCAACUCCAAGAAGCCCUCCUGGGCUGCCCCAGGGUUACUGGUGCUUACUCUACUUUCCAUCUUCCAACUUGAGAUGACAUUCUGCCUCCAUCACCCUCCCACAUAACAUCCCACUGGGCUGCACCACGGCCCAUUCCCUGAACUCUGAGUGCACUCUCCCCUCUCCAGGCCUUUGCACACGCAGUUCCCCCCCUCCUGGGACCCCCUCCCUACCUUCCCGUUAUCAACUUCUUGUGCUCUCCCACAUCCUCCAGCACAGCUGGACAGUUCCUGCUCUGGCUCCCAUAUGCCUUGACUGAUUCAGAGCCUGCCCCCUUCUUCACAUCGUGAGUGUGCUGAGGGCAUGGAUGGAGGCUGUGUGAGCCAGAGUGAGUCACUAACCCUCUCUGAGCCUCUCUCGCAUCACUGCCUUUCCAGCCCCCAGCACAGGCUUGGGACGUAGGCUGCUGACAAUGGACUGAACUAUGUCCCAUGUGUGUUCUUACUGGGUGCCACUCUGUCCUGCCAGGGGUAGGGUCAUGGUCAUAGACACUGGGAUGUCCUGUGGGCCUUAGAAAGUGAUGUGCUGGGAAAUGCUUAACAACUGGCUCUCUGAAGGAAAAAAAUCAACCUUGAUUUGUAGCAUUUGCCAAUUUCCAUGAUCUAAAUAUUUCCACAAUUUCCAACGUCAAGCUACCAACAAGAACACAGAGCUGGGAAGAGAUAGAUGCCCACAGCCAGCUCCCACGAGCUGGUGCGAGCUGACUCCAGCACACCAUUGGCUUUAGUUUAUCACGCCCAACCACACUGUGAGGAAAUUGAGGCUCAGAGAUGGGAGAAAUUUGCUCAAAGCCCUGCAGCUGGUCAAUAGCAGAGCUGGGACUAGAAUCUGGGUCUCUGGCUGUUGACGUUGGUGAGAAAGUAUCCACACAGGCAUGAUAGCUCCUCAUGGACCAACACAAGCUUCAAGCAUUGUUUAAACGCACUGGGUCCCAGCCCAACAUUUUGGCAGUUAGGGCUGCCCUCUCCUUCCUGAGCAGCCUGGAACCCCAGGCUCAGGGCUAAGCCCUGAGCACAUCGGAGCCUCAGGAAGUGCCACUGGGAUGUUAGCUGCAAAAUACUUCUCCUGUGAGCUGAACAUCUGUCUUGGGUGGACCAGAGAUCACGCCCAUUUGGCUGUGCAUUCAAAUGCCCUGCUGGCGGCAGCCUCCACUUCCUGGUGAUUUCUGCUUUCUUUUUUGCCAAGUCACAUCUGUUUGCCAUCUGUAGGUAGCUGAUCACAUUUCAAAAAGCUGGCUGGGGUUUUAUGCAUAUUUCAUCCACUGGGAGAUUUUGGAGAAGGAAAGCUCUCUUUAAGAUCAAAAUGAGCUGAAGAGGUGCUCAGCUGGGUCACCCAGACAGUGAAGAUUAGAAAGGCCCUAAUUCCAGCCUGGGCAACAUAGUGAGACUUUGUCUCUACUUAAAAAAAAAAAAAAAUCAGCUGGGUCUGGUGGCAUGCAUCUGUAGUCCCUGCUACUCUGGAGGCUGAGGUAGGAGGACUGCUUGAGCUCAGGAGGUUGAGGCUGCAGUGAGCUAUGAUUGUGCCACUGCACUCCAGCCUGAGUGACAGGGUGAGGAAGCAUUGUCUAAAAGAGGGGCUAGCAAAUUUUUUUCUGUAAAAGGCCAGAAAGUAAAUAUUUUUAGUUUCAGGGGCCACAGGGUCUCUGGCCUAACUAUUCAACUCAGCCCUUAGAACAUAAGCAGCCCUAGAUGCUGAGUAUGGAUAUGGGUUGUGUUCCAAUAAAACUAUUUGCAAAAUCAGGUGGUAGGCCAGAGUUGGCUGGGAGGGCCACAGUUUGCAGACGCUGAUGGAGAGGAAAGGACUGAGCAUCUUAUCAAAACUACCCCCCACCUCACCCCCACCCAGGGCACCCAUUUGUUGACUGGGCUCUUACUGAAAGCCAGUGGCUGAUGCUGCAACACUGGGGCAGCAGGAGGCUCAUGACUGUGCCCUGCCCUGGCCCUCGCUUUCCACCAUGAUUCCCAUUUAGAGCCACUUUUUUCCUCCCAGAAGUCUUCCUUGAAGACCUCCUCAGCUAAGGCCAAUGCCCUUGUAAUGGCUCUCCCCAGUCCUGGCAUUGCAGAAUGGGAAAGUCAAUAUCACACGUUAACUCAGAGAGGCCUUCCCUGACCACCCAGUCCCAGGACAGCAAACUCCUCCAACACUCCUCAGACCCCCUACCCUGCUUUAUCGACCCCAGUUGCACGUUUCACCUUGGAGGAUAUAUUUUGCAUUUCUGUUUACUUGUUAUUGCCUAUCUCCCCUCCUUGAAUGAAAGUUUUACUCGGGCAGGUACCUUAUCUUCUUCACUGUUUAUAUCUGACAUCUCAGCGGUACCUGGUCUAUAGUAGGUGUUUAAUAAAAAUAUUUGCUAAAAGCAUGAAUGAAUAUCAGUUAUCACACUGCAAGAUGCUUGCUUAUUUAAUGCUUGUUUUUAGCUUGAAUUGUGAACAUCCUAAAAACAUGGGCUGGGUCUUCUGGGUUUUGUUCUUAACAUCUGCAUUGUCAAAAAAAGUUUGUUGAACGGUUGAAUGAAUGAAUUUAUUUGAUAAAAACGUAUGACAGCAGGAAGUAGAGGCCAUUUAGAACAGUAGACUUCAAAUCUGUGUUUGCAAUGGAAACCUUUAGUAAUGGGUACCUUAUGCACAGUUCAGCUUCUCUGGUUGACUCAGGGUGGGGCAGCAGAGCUGGCCUGCUCAUCUCCUUUCAACUAUGUCCCUCCACUGUUCCCAUGGCGGCCCCCAGCUAUGUCUGUGGCCCCUAGAGAGUUUCCUGGAAAUAGUUUGAAAACUACUGAUCUAGUCUGAACUGUCCGCUGCACAGAUGAAAGAACUGAAGCCUCGGCAGAGAAAUGCUUGGCUGGAGGUCACUUGUCAAGUCUGUGGCUGUCAUGAGAUUAGAACCCAGCCCCCUCUCUCCCACUGAGCUCCUUGAAGCUACCCUGUUUGGUUGCUUGCACUUUGCACAGAUGCUGGUUAAGUCUCAGUUCUGCUCUGAGCUACACUGUGUCCCUGAGGAAAACACUCCAGCUCCCUGGGUUUCUCUUCAGAGAGCUCAGCCCACAAGCCAGUCAGCUACACAGGCUGUGGGCUCUGAGGUCUGAAGCCAUGAAGUCCCACUCUGGCUUGAAAAGGCAUGAGGUUGGAGGCACUGCAAAACUCAGCCAUGACUUGUGUCUGUCUUUUCUGAGGUCAUCUCUGACCUCAGGAUGCCCUGGGGAGGCAGGCUGGAGAGGCCAGAGGGCCCUGGGUUUCAGCAAAGGACCCGGGUUCAAGUCUCAGGUCAACCACUCACCUGCUCAUCAGGUGUGACCCUAAGCGUGCUACUUAACUUCACUGAGCCUUAGUUUCCUCAGCUGUAAAAUGGGGAUAAUCACAGUGUCCACAUCCCCUGGAGUGGUUGUGAGGAUGACAUGACAAGACAGAUGGAAGGUGAUUAGCAUGGACUAGUAAAUGCUAGACACAAUUAUUAUGAAAGACAGGAGGGG
rnacentral:lncRNA from 10 species